rnacentral:rRNA from 1 species
ACUCCCGGCACGGGGAGGUAGUGACGAAAAAUAACGAUACGGGACUCAUCCGAGGCCCCGUAAUCGGAAUGAGUACACUUUAAAUCCUUUAACGAGGACCCAUUGGAGGGCAAGUCUGGUGCCAGCAGCCGCGGUAACUCCAGCUCCAAUAGCGUAUAUUAAAGUUGUUGCGGUUAAAAAGCUCGUAGUUGAAUUUGUGUUCCGCGCUGUCGGUUCACCGCCCGCGGUGUUUAACUGGCACGUCCGCGGAACGUCCUGCCGGUGGAUGCGCGGACCUUGUAUACUUCCCCAUUAUGCGUGUGCAACUUCGGUUGUUACUGUAUAAUGUGGUGGGGUUGCAGGCGCUCCAGCAUCCGACUCAAUAAUCCUGUCGCGGUGCUCUUAAUUGAGUGUCGAGGCGGGCCGGCACGUUUACUUUGAACAAAUUAGAGUGCUCAAAGCAGGCUAAAAUUUCGCCUGAAUAUUGUGUGCAUGGAAUAAUGGAACAGGACCUCGGUUCUAUUUUGUUGGUUUUCGGAACCCCGAGGUAAUGAUUAAUAGGGACAGAUGGGGGCAUUCGUAUUGCGACGUUAGAGGUGAAAUUCUUGGAUCGUCGCAAGACGGACAGAAGCGAAAGCAUUUGCCAAAAAUGUUUUCAUUAAUCAAGAACGAAAGUCAGAGGCUCGAAGGCGAUCAGAUACCGCCCUAGUUCUGACCAUAAACGAUGCCAGCUAGCGAUCCGCCGACGUUCCUCCGAUGACUCGGCGGGCAGCUUCCGGGAAACCAAAGCUUUUGGGUUCCGGGGGAAGUAUGGUUGCAAAGCUGAAACUUAAAGGAAUUGACGGAAGGGCAUCACAAGGAGUGGAGCCUGCGGCUUAAUUUGACUCAACACGGGGAAACUUACCAGGCCCAGACACCGGAAGGAUUGACAGAUUGAGAGCUCUUUCUUGAUUCGGUGGGUGGUGGUGCAUGGCCGU